UUUGUUACUCGAGUUUGUCCGA
rnacentral:siRNA from 1 species